rnacentral:misc_RNA from 1 species
UACGAAGGGGGCUAGCGUUGUUCGGAAUUACUGGGCGUAAAGCGCACGUAGGCGGAUUGUUAAGUGAGAGGUGAAAUCCCGGGGCUCAACCCCGGAACUGCCUUUCAUACUGGCAGUCUCGAGUUCGGGAGAGGUGAGUGGAAUUCCGAGUGUAGAGGUGAAAUUCGUAGAUAUUCGGAGGAACACCAGUGGCGAAGGCGGCUCACUGGCCCGAAACUGACGCUGAGGUGCGAAAGCGUGGGGAGCAAACAGG